rnacentral:snRNA from 1 species
CGAGCUGCUUCCGCGGCGAGA